rnacentral:rRNA from 1 species
UGCAAGUCGAACGCACUCUCGUUUAGAUUGAAGGAGCUUGCUCCUGAUUGAUAAACAUUUGAGUGAGUGGCGGACGGGUGAGUAACACGUGGGUAACCUGCCCUAAAGUGGGGGAUAACAUUUGGAAACAGAUGCUAAUACCGCAUAAAACCUAACACCGCAUGGUGUAGGGUUGAAAGAUGGUUUCGGCUAUCACUUUAGGAUGGACCCGCGGUGCAUUAGUUAGUUGGUGAGGUAAAGGCUCACCAAGACCGUGAUGCAUAGCCGACCUGAGAGGGUAAUCGGCCACACUGGGACUGAGACACGGCCCAGACUCCUACGGGAGGCAGCAGUAGGGAAUCUUCCACAAUGGACGAAAGUCUGAUGGAGCAACGCCGCGUGAGUGAAGAAGGUUUUCGGAUCGUAAAACUCUGUUGUUGGAGAAGAAUGUAUCUGAUAGUAACUGAUCAGGUAGUGACGGUAUCCAACCAGAAAGCCACGGCUAACUACGUGCCAGCAGCCGCGGUAAUACGUAGGUGGCAAGCGUUGUCCGGAUUUAUUGGGCGUAAAGCGAGCGCAGGCGGUUUCUUAAGUCUGAUGUGAAAGCCUUCGGCUCAACCGAAGAAGUGCAUCGGAAACUGGGAAACUUGAGUGCAGAAGAGGACAGUGGAACUCCAUGUGUAGCGGUGAAAUGCGUAGAUAUAUGGAAGAACACCAGUGGCGAAGGCGGCUGUCUGGUCUGUAACUGACGCUGAGGCUCGAAAGCAUGGGUAGCAAACAGGAUUAGAUACCCUGGUAGUCCAUGCCGUAAACGAUGAGUGCUAGGUGUUGGAGGGUUUCCGCCCUUCAGUGCCGCAGCUAACGCAUUAAGCACUCCGCCUGGGGAGUACGACCGCAAGGUUGAAACUCAAAGGAAUUGACGGGGGCCCGCACAAGCGGUGGAGCAUGUGGUUUAAUUCGAAGCAACGCGAAGAACCUUACCAGGUCUUGACAUCCUUUGACCACUCUAGAGAUAGAGCUUUCCCUUCGGGGA